rnacentral:rRNA from 1 species
AUGGGGGUGGAGGAAUCUAAGAAGUAUGCAGCAGAUGCGAGAUGGCCGGCGAUCGCGAAGGUAAACACGACCCGGAUCUUCAGCGCAUCCGCUAUGUUUGAGACCAUGAAAUCGAUCUGGAGCCUAGCACAUGUGCCGCAGUACAGGGAGGCAGGGGAAAACCUAUUUAUCUUUCAGAUGUUUUGCCUGGGAGAUUGGAAGAAAGUUGUCCAUGGAGGUCCGUGGUUGUUCAGAGGGAUGGGGAUGCUGAUUGAAGAUUAUGAUGGUAAGCAAGAUCCGGAAUCCGUCAAUUUCGAUGGCCUGUUUGUCUGGGCACAAAUACACAAUAUACCGGAGCUCUACCGGAAACUUGAAAUUGUUGAUCAGCUAGCUAGGCGGAUUGGUCGGGUGAAGGAAACACAACUAUCUCCAAGGCUCUUCUAUGAAGGUAACUACGUCCGAAUCCGAGCUAGGGUUCUGGUGGACAAACCACUUACGAGGGUUAUUCCAUUGAACGUGGUGGGUGAGGGCAGGAGACUCCUCCCUGUCAAGUACGAGAAGAUACCGUACUUCUGUCAAAUUUGUGGACUUAUGGGUCAUAAUCAUGAGGAGUGUGGAGAUGGAGUUUGGGAGGCCAAGGACAAGCAAUGGGGAAGCUGGAUGCUGGCAUAG